rnacentral:rRNA from 1 species
AAUCAACGCUGGCGGCGUGCCUCAGACAUGCAAGUCGAACGAUUAAACUUUCCUUCGGGAAAGAUAUAAAGUGGCGUACGGGUGAGUAACACGUAAGUAAUCUACCUUCGAGUGGGGAAUAACGUUCGGAAACGAACGCUAAUACCGCAUAAUGCAGCGGCAUCAAUGAUGACAGUUGUUAAAGAAUUUAUUCGCUUGAAGAGGAGCUUGCGGCAGAUUAGCUAGUUGGAAGGUAAUGGCUUACCAAGGCUACGAUCUGUAUCCGGUCUAAGAGGAUGAUCAGCCACACUGGAACUGAGACACGGUCCAGACUCCUACGGGAGGCAGCAGUGGGGAAUUUUGCACAAUGGGCGAAAGCCUGAUGCAGCAACGCCGCGUGUGUGAUGAAGGUCUUCGGAUCGUAAAGCACUUUCGACCGGGAAGAAAACCUACUGGUAAUUCUCAGGGGCCGUGACGGUACCGGGAGAAGAAGCACCGGCUAACUCUGUGCCAGCCGCCGCC